rnacentral:rRNA from 1 species
GACGAACGCUGGCGGCGUGCCUAAUACAUGCAAGUCGAGCGAAGCGGCGGUUUGGUGAGUAACGCGUGGGUGACCUGCACUUAUGUCUGGAAUACCAUUUAGAAACAGAUGCUACUACCGGAUAAUUAGGGAUGGACCUGCGUGGCAUUAGCUAGUUGGUAAGGUAACGGCUUACCAAGGCAACGAUGCAUAGCCGGGUUGAGAGAAUGAUCGGCCACAUUGGGACUGAGACACGGCCCAAACUCCUACGGGAGGCAGCAGUAGGGAAUCUUCCACAAUGGGCGAAAGUCUGAUGGAGCCACGCCGCGUGAGUGAAGAAGGUUUUCGGAUCGUAAAGUUCUGUUGUUGGUGAAGCGGUAACCAACCAGAAAGCCACGGCUAACUACGUGCCAGCAGCCGCGGUAAUUC